rnacentral:lncRNA from 1 species
UUGGUUUUCAGAGUUGAUGGUCUAUUGUUUGUACUUCUGUGUCCCGGGUUUGUCUUUUGUUCAUUUAUUGUCCUACUUAAUGACUAGUCUGAGUGUUGAUUUUCAAUUGUAAACGUGUCACACUGUGUAAUGUUGCAUGUCCACCGAUGUCCAGGCAUUAUGCGAGAAAAUAUUUUAAGAAUAUACGAUGCUACUGGACACAGAAAAAAAGUGUCGUUUCUGCAUGGAGAAUUGAACUUGAUAUCAAAGAAUACGAAACUGCCUUUCUUGUAUAUAAAACCAUACCCAAUUUUUUCUUAGUAUGGAUUGCAAAAUUAGGUAUUUUCUGUAGGUGAGAUAUGCACAGAAGUGAUAGAUAUGUAUUAUAAAUAUAAAAAAUUGAAUAUCUUAAUCAACAACAGAAUAAAAAAAAAAAUAACUGUAUCAUAUAUCAAAGCGCCUGUGGAUAAAACUAGAUAGCUGACAUGAUUUAAAUUAAAGUAAGACCACCA